CUCCAGAGAGACUCUAGCCCUGCGUGUCUCAAUCCGGGGGUGAGACGCACCUAUCUCUCUUUCCCACUCCUUGGCCCUUGAGGGGUCAUUUGGAAGAGACAAAGAGAGACAUGGGCUGAAUCAAGCACCACCCCAACCUGUGGACCUAAAGGCGCUGUGAAGUUUGUUCCAUAAGCCAAGUGCUGGGGCCACACCACGGGAGAAUUCCUGCUGGGAAUAAAAUCUGAAACAGUCCACCAUUCCCAGGGAAACUACUUGGUCUACCUUCAAGCCACCCUAUCUCCAGAGAAUCAGAGACUACCAGCCCAGCUGCCUGGAAGGCCUUUCUCCCCAGCUUCUGGGGAACAGCUCUGCUUCUGAACAGAGCUGGAGAGCUGUAAUUAUCCAGACAGGAUAAGAGCUAUUUUGGGAAGGAGCUGUCUUGCUGCCAAGGCUUUUGACUUCCUAAACUAAAACAAGAUGCAAAGAAAAAAGGGGUGAGAGUAGGGAAGAAGAGGGAGGAGCCUGCUCAAUCAAAAACAUCAAAUCUUGAAUGAAGAGAAAUAGCACCCCUUCCAAAAGGUACCGGGGAUUGAACUCGGGUCCUUGUGCUUGCGCAGUAGGCGGUGAAACCACUGAGCUAAAUCCCCAGAGUAAUAUUGGUUUUGAUCAAAAAUGACACUUGUACACCUCUGACAAGUUACCUGAAUUGUCUGAGCCUCAGUUUCUUCACUGGGAAACCAAUGCCUGGGUAAAAUUUCUGGAGGCUAAGAAGUAUGAAUACGACCAUCCACAACAGGAACUAUUUAGUUCUCACAAACAAAAGACCUUUUCCAUACUCAUCAAGAUACAAUAAAAUGUGUACUGGACAGUACUUCACAUGCAGCAGUAAAUAGCUUUCAAGAGAAGUUUCCUAUUUCUAUGUAAAGAUUCCAAACUGGAGGAAUCUGAUUGGAAGCAAAUGGUUAAACAUGCUGCCUAUACACAGAGUCAAACCACCAUGACUACUAUAGCAGCUGAACAAAGUGUGAGAUAUGGAACUUGAACUGCUGCCCUGAUAGCAACUGAAGCAGACGAGAGAAGAAAGGAGCUCACAACCAGGAUGCUCAAAAUCAGGCUGGAAUCCAUCUAUGAUCCAGUUCCAGUCAGUCUGACAAGUCACUCUGAUCCAGUACGAUUAUCCUGUGCACACAAGUUUUAAAGGACAAAGAAGGGAGCUUAAAAUUGAUGUGUACAUUUAUUGUUCCUAUUAUUCUUAUUUGUGGUGCUAAAGCUCAAAACCAGUGCAUUGAAGAUGCUAGACACACACUUUAUUGCUGAGCAAUAUCCCCAUCUCAGUAUGUACAAUUUUAAAGACAAAAAGAAUAUACUUUCUAUUCAACUAAAUUCAAGGGAAAAGAAUUUUGUUCUUUAUAAUCAAGGGAGAGUAUGAUCAACAGUGAAUCAUGGAGAUG
rnacentral:lncRNA from 1 species